rnacentral:rRNA from 1 species
UACAGAGGGCGCAAGCGUUGUUCGGAUUCAUUGGGCGUAAAGGGUGCGUAGGCGGCGCGGUAAGUCGGGUGUGAAAUCUUGGAGCUUAACUCCGAAACUGCAUUCGAUACUGCCGUGCUUGAGGACUGGAGAGGAGACUGGAAUUUACGGUGUAGCGGUGAAAUGCGUAGAUAUCGUAAGGAAGACCAGUGGCGAAGGCGGGUCUCUGGACAGUUCCUGACGCUGAGGCACGAAGGUCAGGGGAGCAAACAGG